rnacentral:rRNA from 1 species
GACGAACGCUGGCGGCGUGCUUAACACAUGCAAGUCGAACGGUGAAGCGCCUUCCUUUUUGGUGGGUGUGGAUGAGUGGCGAACGGGUGAGUAACACGUGAGUAACCUGCCCCCUUCUUCUGGAUAACCGCAUGAAAGUGUGGCUAAUACGGAAUAUUCUGGGUCUGUCGCAUGAUGGGUCUGGGAAAGAUAUUGUUUCGGUGGGGGAUGGGCUCGCGGCCUAUCAGCUUGUUGGUGGGGUGAUGGCCUACCAAGGCGGUGACGGGUAGCCGGCCUGAGAGGGUGGACGGUCACACUGGGAAUGAGACACGGCCCAGACUCGUACGGGAGGCAGCAGUGGGGAAUAUUGCACAAUGGGCGCAAGCCUGAUGCAGCGACGCCGCGUGAGGGAUGGAGGCCUGCGGGUUGUGAACCUCUUUCGCCAGUGAAGCAGGCCUGCCUCGUUUGUGGGUGGGUUGACGGUAGCUGGAUAAGAAGCGCCGGCUAACUACGUG